UUAAAUGAAAGCUCUAUCUUUAAUAACAAAAAAGUUAUGCAAAAUUUUCGAUCUAAAAAAGUACAUGUUAAUAGUAAAAAACCGAAAUUUUGAUUUUUCUCAAAAACUAUAAUUUUUUUAAUUUUGAUAAUUAUGUGCAAGGUGCCCCUCUGCAAGGAGUACUUGACAGUUUUUAAAUGAAAGCUCUAUCUUUAAUAACAAAAAAGUUAUGCAAAAUUUUCGAUCUAAAAAAGUACAUGUUAAUUGUAAAAAACCGAAAUUUUGAUUUUUCUCAAAAACUAUAAUUUUUUUAAUUUUGAUAAUUAUGUGCAAGGUGCCCCUCUGCAAGGAGUACUUGACAGUUUUUAAAUGAAAGCUCUAUCUUUAAUAACAAAAAAGUUAUGCAAAAUUUUCGAUCUAAUAAAGUACAUGUUAAUGGUAAAAAACCGAAAUUUCGAUAAAAAGACUUAUUCAUACUAUC